rnacentral:rRNA from 1 species
UACGAAGGGGGCUAGCGUUGUUCGGAAUUACUGGGCGUAAAGCGUGCGCAGGCGGUUCGUUAAGUCAGAUGUGAAAGCCCCGGGCUCAACCUGGGAACUGCAUUUGAAACUGGCGGGCUUGAGUAUGGCAGAGGGGGGUGGAAUUCCGCGUGUAGCAGUGAAAUGCGUAGAGAUGCGGAGGAACACCGAUGGCGAAGGCAGCCCCCUGGGCUAACACUGACGCUCAGGCACGAAAGCGUGGGGAGCAAACAGG